rnacentral:rRNA from 1 species
GCACCAGACUCCUACGGGAGGCAGCAGUGGGGAAUAUUGCACAAUGGGGGGAACCUUGAUGCAGCAACGCCGCGUGGGUGAAGAAGUACUCUGGUAUGUAAAGCCCUGUCAGCAGGGAAGAAAAUGACGGUACCUGACCAAGAAGCUCCGGCUAACUACGUGCCAGCAGCCGCGGUAAUACGUAGGGAGCGAGCGUUGUCCGGAAUUACUGGGUGUAAAGGGAGCGUAGGCGGGAUUGCAAGUUGGAUGUGAAAACUGCGGGCUCAACCCGGAGCGUGCAUUCAAAACUGCGAUUCUUGAGUGAAGUAGAGGCAAGCGGAAUUCCUAGUGUAGCGGUGAAAUGCGUAGAUAUUAGGAGGAACACCAGUGGCGAAGGCGGCUUGCUGGGCUUUUACUGACGCUGAGGCUCGAAAGCGUGGGGAGCAAACAGGAUUAGAUACCCCAGUAUG